AGUUGUAUCCUGGCUCAGGAUGAACGCUAGCGGCAGGCUUAACACAUGCAAGUCGAGGGGUAACAUUGUAGCUUGCUACAGAUGGCGACCGGCGCACGGGUGCGUAACGCGUAUAGAACCUACCUUUUACAGAGGGAUAGCCUUUAGAAAUGAAGAUUAAUACCUUAUAGUAUUGAGACUUGGCAUCGAGUUUUAAUUAAAGAUUUAUCGGUAAAAGAUGGCUAUGCGUCCUAUUAGUUAAUUGGUAAGGUAACGGCUUACCAAGACUUCGAUAGGUAGGGGCCCUGAGAGGGGGAUCCCCCACACUGGUACUGAGACACGGACCAGACUCCUACGGGAGGCAGCAGUGAGGAAUAUUGGGCAAUGGAGGCAACUCUGACCCAGCCAUGCCGCGUGCAGGAAGACUGCCCUAUGGGUUGUAAACUGCUUUUAUACAGGAAGAAACACUGCUACGUGUAGCAGCUUGACGGUACUGUAAGAAUAAGGACCGGCUAACUCCGUGCCAGCAGCCGCGGUAAUACGGAGGGUCCGAGCGUUAUCCGGAAUCAUUGGGUUUAAAGGGUCCGCAGGCGGUCAAUUAAGUCAGAGGUGAAAUACCAUAGCUCAACUAUGGAACUGCCUUUGAUACUGGUUGACUUGAGUCAUAUGGAAGUAGAUAGAAUGUGUAGUGUAGCGGUGAAAUGCAUAGAUAUUACACAGAAUACCGAUUGCGAAGGCAGUCUACUACGUAUGUACUGACGCUGAGGGACNAAAGCGU
rnacentral:rRNA from 1 species